rnacentral:rRNA from 1 species
GUAGGUGGCAAGCGUUGUCCGGGAAUUAUUGGGGCGUAAAGCGCGCGCAGGCGGUUCUUUAAGUCUGAUGUGAAAGCCCACGGGCUCAACCGUGGAGGGUCAUUGGAAACUGGAGAACUUGAGUACAGAAGAGGAAAGCGGAAUUCCACGUGUAGCGGUGAAAUGCGUAGAGAUGUGGAGGAACACCAGUGGCGAAGGCGGCUUUCUGGUCUGUAACUGACGCUGAGGCGCGAAAGCGUGGGGAGCAAACAGGAUUAGAUACCCUGGUGGUCCACGCCGUAAACGAUGAGUGCUAAGUGUUAGGGGGUUUCCGCCCCUUAGUGCUGCAGCUAACGCAUUAAGCACUCCGCCUGGGGAGUACGGCCGCAAAGGCUG